UCAAAUUGCAGAUUCUAUCCCUGAACAUUUAGGAACUGCAGAUCCGUCACCUAACUCCUAGGAAUUACAAAACUGUUCUUGAACUUUAUGGAAGUUACAGAAAGGUUAUUUAUCUUUCUGAAAUUGCAGUUUGGUCACUGAACUUCUGACUAUGACCAUUUGGUCGCUAAACUUCUAACUAUGACCAUCUGGUCACACGCCUUCUCCAGCCGAUGCCUCGAAUCUCUUCGCUGGCGUUGUUGGGUGAGCGCCGCCACUUCUGACGCCGCUCUUCCUAACUCUCCUCCAACACAGCCCUCAUAGAUCGCCGCCAAUCUCCCUCCUUUCUCUCACAACACAUAGGAAUUACAAAACUGUUCUUGAACUUUAUGGAAGUUACAGAAAGGUUAUUUAUCUUUCUGAAAUUGCAGUUUGGUCACUGAACUUCUGACUAUGACCAUUUGGUCGCUAAACUUCUAACUAUGACCAUCUGGUCACACGCCUUCUCCAGCCGAUGCCUCGAAUCUCUUCGCUGGCGUUGUUGGGUGAGCGCCGCCACUUCUGACGCCGCUCUUCCUAACGCUCCGCCAAAAUAGCCGUCGUAGAUCGCCUCCAAUCUCCCUCCUUGAACUACAGACACCGCGGCUGCCACUCUUCUUCAUCACCUGCCAAGAUCGAAUCUCCUCUCUCUCUAAAGAGGGGAGAGAUCCGCUGCCGUAGCCCUUAUCGACUUGCCCACACUCCCUUGAGCUUUGGAGGUCGCCGCUGCUCCCUCAGCUCCAAUGUUAUGAACUGGUUUUGGGAACC
rnacentral:lncRNA from 1 species